rnacentral:rRNA from 1 species
UACGUAGGGCGCAAGCGUUGUCCGGAAUUAUUGGGCGUAAAGCGCACGUAGGCGGAUCGUUAAGUCGGGGGUGAAAUCCUGGAGCUCAACUCCAGAACUGCCUUCGAUACUGGCGAUCUUGAGUCCGGAAGAGGUGAGUGGAACUCCUAGUGUAGAGGUGGAAUUCGUAGAUAUUAGGAAGAACACCAAUGGCGAAGGCAGCUCGCUGGGACGUGACUGACGCUGAGACGCGAAAGCGUGGGGAGCAAACAGG